GUUAUCUAUAUUAGAUUCCUCAUAGAAAUAUUAAAACUCUUUGCAGGAAGACUCAAAAUAUAGGAGGCCCAUAUUUGAAGUUAGGAAAAGGUCCCCAAAUUAUCAGCGCAGCCCUGUCCAAACUGGAUUUUGUUGACAAAUCAAGUUGAAAUUUUCGGUGCAAUCAGUCCAAACUCAAACUUGUUCUUCCUUUUUUGUUGCAACUUUUGUAGUUGAUCACCUCAUGACUGAUUUUUGUUUGUUAUUUUUUUCUUCUAAUUAAGGCUUUAUUUUGAUCGAAACAAAAUGGUUUCACUUUAUCUGUUAAUUUCUCUUCAAAACUUGAUCUUUAUGUUUUUUUCCCUUCAAUUUCUGUAGGAUUUUGCUGGUGCGCUAAUAUCGUAAUCAAUUAAUCAACUCUCGAUUUGUAUUCCAAUUUUUGAAGAGUUGAGGAAAAUUGUCAGACAGUGUGACAUUUUUUACGAUUUAAAACAAAACCUUAUCUCAUUCUUCCCAUUACACAACGAUAGGCAGAAACGAAAAUCAGAAGGAAAAUUCAGCAAUGAAGCAGCAAUCAGAAGUUGAAUUAAAUUUUUUUCUUUGCUUGGAAUUAAUCCUCUGCUUUGACUACAACUAGGUAAGGAGGAGGAUUUUUAUUUACAAGAGUAUAUUAUGUUUAUAUGUGUGUAUAUGUACAUAUAAAUAGUAAGGAAGCAGAUCGUAGAGGGAUGAAGGGAUGACAGAAAUGAAGGGCUGACAAAAUCUGUAUAAGUAUUUUGAAUUAGAAUUGGAAUUUGGUGCAUAAUUAGGAAAUUAUUGAACUGGGGACUGAUUUUUGUUAAGGCAGAUUGGUUUAUAUAAUCUGAAUAUUUGAACUCACUUUUUAAGUAAGUAAAUUUGCAAGAUGAUUAAAUGAUAGGAAGUCAAUAUUAAAAUGGUCUUGGCCAGAUUUUCAUUGGUGUACAAAUUUUGUAGUAAUUGAGAAGAAAAUGAAUAAGUGAUCUUGAAAUUGGGUUUGGCAUUACAUACAUGAGAGAGUGUAUUUUUACUUUUAAUGGUGGAAUCAGGCGUAGGAGAAUACAGAAGAGGAGAAAUUCAGGAAGGAAAAAGAAUGAUUUGGGUUGUGAUUUCAGUCAAGAAAAUGGGAUUAGGCAUUUAAAUGCUCUCUUUUCUUCCACUAGCAUAAACAUUCAACAAAAGUUCAUUGUCUUCUUUCAAUUGGCAGUUUGAAUAGUCAGUUUUUAAGCAAAAUUAAGAUUUAGGACAGAGAAUUACAAUUUGGGUAAAUAGUGGAAUCAUUCCUUUCUGAGCAGUAAGGUAAGAAAGGAGGAGAAAGGUAAAAUUGAAACAAGAAAAAUGAUUUGAGUAGUGGAUUUUAGUCAGCAAAGUGGAAAAUAAUUUAAAUGAGGAAUUACAUUAGAUGGCUGGCUACUCAUUAUUUAACGUGAUUGGGCUUUUAAUUCGAGUAAAUAUAGGAGGAAAAAUAAAUGUUGCAGCCAAAACAAAAGCAUAGACAUGCAGCAAUUCUUGAAGAACCAAUUGUUGUCCCCAUUUAUAACCCACCGGAUGAUGAUGCAGAUACCCCAAAGAUUGAUGCUCCACCUCCCUGCAGACCUUGAUCUUUGAGACUCAAGAUGCCUAGUCCAAGCACGAUGACACCGUCAACAAGCUCCGAUCGUGAAAAAAGGUAAGAAGGAUGUCCAGUAAGUUUAAAAUGUUGUUGAAAUAGUACAUUGUAUGUUUGGGAAAAUAUGUAAAAUGUCAUUUUGUGUACCAUCCUUAAUAUUUUUGGUUGAUGGUACAAUUUGAUAUUUGGAUGUAAACUUCAAAUCGAUAUGACUUUAUGGUUGUUUUCAUUCGUGACAUGUUAAUAUUGACAAGAGUUGGUAUAUUGUGUCAAAUUAUUGUGGUUGUUCUC
rnacentral:lncRNA from 1 species